rnacentral:rRNA from 1 species
AGGAUGAACGCUGGCGGCGUGCCUAAUACAUGCAAGUCGAGCGGUAACACUUCGGGUGACGAGCGGCGGACGGCAGAGUAACGCGUAGGAACGUACCCCAAACUGAGGGAUAAGCACCGGAAACGGUGUCUAAUACCGCAUAUUAUCUUUGGAUCAAAGCCUUCGGGCGGUUUGGGAGCGGCCUGCGUAUGAUUAGCUUGUUGGUGAGGUAAAAGCUCACCAAGGCGACGAUCAUUAGCUGGUCUGAGAGGAUGAUCAGCCUGACUGGGACUGAGAACGGCCCAGACUCCUACGGGAGGCAGCAGUAGGGAAUUUUCCGCAAUGGGCGAAAGCCUGACGGAGCAACGCCGCGUGCAGGAGGAAGGCCCUCGGGUCGUAAACUGCUUUUAUCUGUGACGAUUUUGACGGUAGCAGAAGAAUAAGGAUUGGCUAAUUCCGCGCCAGCAGCCGC